UACGUAGGGGGCGAGCGUUGUCCGGAAUUAUUGGGCGUAAAGGGUUCGUAGGCGGUAAUACAUGUCAGAUGUGAAAUCUUGUGGCUUAACCACAUCAAGCAUCUGAAACUGUAUAACUUGAGUGGAGGAGAGGUAAGUGGAAUUCCUAGUGUAGCGGUGAAAUGCGUAGAUAUUAGGAAGAAUACCAGUAGCGAAGGCGACUUACUGGCCUCUAACUGACGCUGAUGAACGAAAGCGUGGGUAGCAAACAGGAUUAGAUACCCUGGUA
rnacentral:rRNA from 1 species